rnacentral:rRNA from 1 species
UACGAAGGGGGCUAGCGUUGUUCGGAAUUACUGGGCGUAAAGCGCACGUAGGCGGAUAUUUAAGUCAGGGGUGAAAUCCCAGAGCUCAACUCUGGAACUGCCUUUGAUACUGGGUAUCUUGAGUAUGGAAGAGGUAAGUGGAAUUGCGAGUGUAGAGGUGAAAUUCGUAGAUAUUCGCAGGAACACCAGUGGCGAAGGCGACUUACUGGACACAUAAUUGACGCUGAGGUGCGAAAGCGUGGGGAG